GCGGCUCAUGCCAUGGUGCAUUUGGAGCUGGAGGCAGUGGAGAAGCAGGCACAGCUGCGAGAGCUGAGAACCUCGCUGGAAACAUCCCGGGCUGACACAAGUCCGUGGUAAGUUUGCGGUGCAAUGUUAAUACUCCCACCAUCUCUACUCUGUGUUUCUCUGCACAGGGCUUGUGCAUGCACCCAGGAUGCAAUCAUCCCAGAUCUCCUUCACUCCAAUAGAUCCAAUUCCCACUAAAUUACUGAAAGAGUUGUUACCUGUCGCAGAAGAGACUCUUUUUUUUUUUUUGGUAGUCCCGCUCAUUUGCAGGGUCUGUUUCAUCUGAAUUAUCCGCACACACACAUUGGAUUUGGCACAGGUUUUUACGCCGGAUGCCCUUCCUGACACAACCCAGCACUGAGAGUGCUGGGACACACUCAAACUCACACACACUCCUACAGCCAAUUUGGCAUGUCCAAUCCACCUAACCCUGAGGAAACCGGAGCACCCGGAGGAAACACACUGACACGGGGAGCACAUGCAAACUCCACACAGAAAGGACUCCUGGCUCAGCCAGGGCUCGAACCGGCAACUCACUGAGUCACUGUGCCGCCCACAACUAGAUCCAAAUGACUUGUCAAAUUACAGACCUAUUUCAAAUCUUCUAUUUAUGUCUAAAAUAGUAGAAAUGUAAUGUUAAAAGUAAUGUUUGGUCAAUUGAGCUCCUUCUUGCAAAAAAAAAUAAAAAUAUUUAUGAAAAAUUUCAGUGAGGAUUCAGGCCCCAUCAUAGCACAGAAACUGUGCUCUUUAAAAUUACAAAUGACUUACUACUAGCUUCUGACCAAGGCUGCAUCUCAAUAUUAGUUUUACUUGAUCUUAGGGCGGCGUUCGACACUAUAGAUCAUGAUAUACUCUUAGAAUGAUUACAAAAUUACCCUGGUAUUCAGGGAUAGGCAGUAAGAUGGUUUAGAUGGUCUGACUGUUACCAUUUUGUUUAUAUAAAUGGAAAUUAUCAAGUUAAAAUCAGUAAAUUAUGGAGUGCAGCAAGGGUCUGAUUUAGGCCCUCUGCUAUUUUCAAUAUACAUGCUGCCUCUUGAUAAUAUUAUUAGAAAACAUGGAAUUAGUUUCUACUGUUAUGCAAAUGAUACUUCAAAUUCAGACUGAGGUAUAACAUAUUGGAUCAAAAAUGUGCACACAGAAUCUCUUAGAGUACAAUUUGCAUCUAGAAGUAUGUACUGUUACUUCAUCCUCCAUAUCAGACAGCAACUUGUAUUUCAAAAUCAUAUUUCAUAUGUAACAAAAACAGCCUUCUUCCACCUCAGAAACAUUGCUAAGCUACAGAAAAUGUUAUGUGUUUCUGAUGCAGAAAAACUAGUUCAUGCAUUCAUGACCUCCAGACUGAAUUACUGUAAUGCACUAUUUGGUGGUUGUCCUGCAUGUUCAAUAAACAAGCUACAGUUAAUCUAAAAUGCAGCUACAAGAGUUCUUACCAGGUCAAGAAAAUAUGAUAUAAUAUUUUAUCAUCAGUUUAUCAUGAUCAUAUUUUAUCAUCUCUACACUGGUUAACUAUUAAGUUCCGUAUCGAUUACAAAGUAUUGCUACUGACCUAUAAAGCCCUAAAUGGCUCAGCUCCUUUGUAUUUAACCGAUCUUCUAUCACCCUACAAUCCAUCACGCUUUUUAAGGUCACAAAACUCCUUUUGGUUGUGCCUAGGAUAUCUAAGAUGUUUUCACAUUUGGUUCCUAAACUCUGGAAUAGCCUUCCUGAUAAUGUUUGGGGCUCAGACACACUCUCACAGUUUAAAUCUAGAUUAAAGACAUGUCUUUAGCCAAGCAUUCACAUAAUGCAUCUCAUAACCUUGCACUGUAGUUAUAUCAGAUCAAAUGUGCAUGACUGUCUAUUGCUUGAAAUGUUAUAAACAGCAGCUACACUAAUUAUUUUGCCCAUUAUGCUUAUAAUUAUGCCCAUCCCGAGGUAACUAGAGAUCACGCCAGCUCCAGUUUGAAUCCAGGCAAAUUCAGAUGACCCAACACCUGUGAAGAGAUGACACCAACCCCUGCAAGGACUUCAGAUGACGCCAACUCUGAAUCAACAUACACAACUGCCAAAAUUUCAGUAUAUUAGUUUGGGAGAAGGUGCUCACUGCAGAGCAAAUAGGUGGAGCUUAAGUUAGCUACCCCUCACUGGCGAGAGGGAGCUGACGUCCAGCGAGGAGGAGCGAAUGUACAACCACACCCUAAUCCUACCCUAACCCUACCCACAACUCUAUCUCUCCACCCCACUGGACGUCCACUGUAGGCCCCACAAACUCCCAAGCUGACCCCGCUCGGAGCAAGAUGCCUUGGAGCACCAUUCUUGUUUUCCCACGCACGUCAGUGGAGUAAUGGUAUAGAAUUCAGCACUGGAGAUUCAGGUAAAUGGCUACAGAAGGAAAGAGAGACAACGAGAGAACAGAGGGGGAGUAGAAGAGAGAUGACAGAACCCACAUCAUAGCACAAGCAGAAACGUGUCCUGCUGUUGGGCUGCUUGGAUCUGGACUCCUUAGGGAAUAUGGUCUGUCUUUCACAGGUGUGAAUGAGGAACCUUAUGGUGCAUUGCCCCUUCUACGUCUAAUUCUCACUCUGUCUAGCAUCCUUUUUUAGCUCAUUUGUUAAAGAAAAGGCUUAGCUGCUUAGCUUCCUCUAGUUAAAUAGCAUCUGUUCGUCUGACAGGGUAUGGCUGAUGGACAUAUUUUCCUCAUAUUGCUUAAAGAGGAAAUAAUCGUAUUUAUUGUAAAAGCAGCCUGUUCAGGACAGUGUUAUUUUAGUUUUAUUAAUAUUUUGAAUUAGCUUUUAUUUUUAUAUUUUAGUUUAUAUGUUAAAGCUGCAGUAACUUUUUUUGGUUAAAAAUUAUCCAGAAUCAAUUUUUGAGCGAGUACAUAACCAGCCAGUGUUCAAAACGAUCUCCUUACCUUAGCCCGAUUCACAGCCGUAAGCUUGUAAUAAUGUUUUCUAAUUUGGGUGGUACUAGUAGGUUUCCGCGGGAAAUUUGAGCAUGCAGCCGUUCGUCUUUGUGUCUUUAUGUCACGUUACAUAAAGAAGGAGUCCCAGCUACUAGGCCAUAUGGCUUGUGAGGAUGCUGCUGAUAGCUGAUAAUUUAUUGCCUUUUCUCACAGCAGCUGCAAUAACGAAACUUAUCGUUUUGAUGGCGGAUUGUAAUCCAGAAAGGUCCAAAUGACAAUCAUCAGUGACAACUGGAGAUUCACCCUGUAGUCAAAAGCAAAAGACUCCGGACUGCAGAGUGGCUAGAGAAAUUGAAAUACAGGUAACGCUAAUACACACUAAAUACACAUAGUCACGCAAUGCUGAUGUUGUUAACAUUAACAAUUUGAGAACAAAGUAUAACAAUAACAAUAAUUUGCACGGUUUGACGUGAUCCGAGCUAGGCGAUCGUUACAUUUAAUCACCAUUGGCAGCGUGAUUUAUUCCUUUUUUCUCAGUUGGUCAGAACAAAAGUGGCAGAUUUGUUACUUACUUGUUCAGAUGACAUUUUCCGAUGAAAAUUCUUAUUUUGGUCAAACUUCCAAGACGUAGAAUCUGUGAUUCUGAAGUACAGUGUCCACACCAAUGUGGUGACUGACAGCAAAUGCUAAGGAGUCGUGCUGAUGCACAACCCACAGAAAGAUGAUAAUUCCACAAAUAAC